rnacentral:lncRNA from 1 species
UAAUAUUCUGUGUUUUUUAUUAUUCAAUUUGUUAUAAUUACAACUUUUCUGUCUCCCGCUUCCAAAAUUUCAGUUAGAUUAGACAUAUGAUAUGUAGUUAAAUUUAUACCCGCAUACUCCAACCUCUUUCCAAGGUGAACAGAACCGAAGAUAAUAUACCAAAAGAACUUGACAUUUCACCUGAUGCUUACGAACACAUACGCUCCACUUGUAAGUCCUAAAUGCUAUUGCAAGUAAAACUCCCUGAUGAUGAAGAAGACUGAUACAUUGGGUCCAGUAUUCUAAAACUCAUACAAAAGAGAAAAUGAUAUUUCCCCUCUUCAGAACAGUAAGUCCCCUCAGUCCCUCACUUUGUUUUUAUGGAUAAGUUAGUGCCCUUCCCUUGUUUUUAAGAUUUUCUAUUAGAUCAUAUUACCAAAUUGACUGUACAUCCAGGCUAGAGUAUACAACACCAACUGGAGGCCUCCUAAUUGGUGAGUUGCUUGUGCUUUCACCAGUUCCAUGCACAGUCCAAUCCACUCUACCAAUAAAAGAAAGGCGUUUUUAAUCCAAGAUCUACAGAAAAGUGUAGAAAGAACAAAACCAAACAACAAAAACAAAGAUAUAAGACCUGUAAAAAUGUGCCUGAUCUAUAUAAAAUGUACAGGCUCCACCAUCUUUUUUAAAAAAAAGGUAAAGCUCACUGAAUGUAAUUAUGCAGCUAGAUGUGUU